GGGGUCGUAGCAUAACUGGUAAUGCACUUGUAUGGCAUACAAGCGAUUGUGGGUUCAAAUCCCAUCGACUCCAC
rnacentral:tRNA from 10 species